rnacentral:lncRNA from 1 species
GAGUGGAGAAGAUAACCUCUAGUGUUGAAGCAUCAUCGGCUCCUCCUCCAACCAACCUUGUCCCUACCAUUUUGGAGGUUAUGAAGUUGGUGAAAGAUUGUGGUGUGAAAGAAAAAACUGCUCUCAUGCACACAACCCUCACUCUUAUAGUGAAGCCUGACUUUAGGGAAAUCUUCAGUCUUCUUGAAACAAAAGAAGGGAGGCUUGAUUAUCUGGCGAGGGAGCAUCAGAAGUAGAUGUUGAAGCACGUGUUGUGAACCAUAUGUACUCAUGUUGUAGAACUACAUUUUCUUUCAGUGUAGAAACUUAUUUUCUUAUGUUGUGAACCGUAUUUGCUUGUGUUGUGAACCUUAUAUGCUUAUACAAUCAUAUUUGCUUGUGUUGUAAGGGGUCCCAAGUUUCUCACCUCGUAUGCAAAAGCAUAUCAUCAUUGCUUGCAUGGCACUGCACAACUUCAUUCGUGAUAGCAAGUUGAGUGAUAAAUUUUUUGAUAAAUGUGAUGCCGAUGAUGAGUAUGUACCUCCAGUGCUACGACGGGAAGUAGCACCAACACAAGCGGAUCCCGUUGAAGAGGAGGAGAACGAAGAUACCAUGGAUACUAUUCGUAGUAGGAUAGCCGAUGGUUGUCUUGCGAUAGCAACAUAGGUUAGCUAUCUUGAUGGAGGUCAUCAUCAUGCGAACCAUAUGUAUAUUAUAUGAUGCAUGCCUUUUGUAAUAUAAUUAUGGGGUCAAUAUCUAUUUAUAUAUAAUAUGUAGUAUGCAACUUGGAAGUAUAAUCGUUGAAUUCGUAUGUGUUAGCUGUGAAUCAUCUAAACGGUCGCUCUAUUGCCUACCAAUGUAUAUAUCACUAUUUUACGAUCAAGUUGCACAUAAAAAUAUUGAAUUAUUGUCCAGGGUCAUUACAGACAAUUCACAAUCAAAUCUGUAGUUUCACAGCUGUUUUAGCCAAAUGACUUCCAGCUUUUCCACAGCUGAAAGUUCACAGCAGCUUUUUCACAGCUCACACCUCACAGCAGCUUUUACAGAAUAUGCAGCUCAACCAAACACAGCCUUAGGCUAUGUUUGGUUGGACUUCAACUUCCAACUUCUAGGCCCAAAAGCUAUAAUCUGUACCAAAGGGUGUUCCCAGGAAAGCAGAUUCGUAAGAAGUUGCAACUUCUUCUAGUGCAAAUCCCGCAGCCCACAUACCCCAACUUGUCCAGCUUCUCAGCUGACCAUUUUGCUAACUUACCUGAGAGUUGAGGAUUAUUUACCCACCUUUGCCACUCCCUAAUGAAAACGAUUCGCUGCUGAUAAGAAAAAUCUCCUCGUACCAUCGACAGCAAAAACUCCUUGAGGGAAAAUCCCCUCAUCCCGAGCGACGGGCUAGGGUUUCUAGCCGCCGCCGCCAGCGCUACCGGCCCUCCACCGCCGCCACCAGCGCCGCCUUUAGUGGUGCAGGCUCUCCACCGCCGCCCGAGCUACAGCCCCUACGUAUCCAUCCGCCUCUGAGCAGUACGCCGCCCGCCCAGUGGCCCUUCCUCGCCGGCCGUCCGGCGCCGUCGACCGGAGCUGCGCAGCCCUCCAUGGCGAGGUAGCCUCCGUCCUUACUCCCGCCUUCCUCCACUUCCAUCCCUGAGUACAGAUUGCUUGCUAGUAGGUGGUGUAUUUGGGAUAAAUUGUGUACAGAUUGCUUGCUAGUACAUGUUGCUUGUGCUUCUGUUGUGAACGGAGCCUCUGUAGUACCUUUCUAACGUGAAUUUAGUUGACAUUGAUUGCUUGCUAUGUUCUGCUAUGGAUAAAUUGGAAGAUGUUUACAUAUUGUACAACUAUUAUACAUGUGGUAGGGUAUUAAAAUUAUUUUGCUUGAUUGAAGAAUGACUGAAAAAGGGGUGUGGGAUGAUGCACGUCUGAAUAAAGUCAUAGAAAUAUUCAGAGAGGAGGUUGAAAAUGGGAAUAGGCCCUUAGGUUAUUUUACUAAGAAGGGCUGGGACAAUGUUAUCGAGAAAUGGGAAGCAAGAAUGGGAAAGAACUAUCCCAAGGAUAAAUUCAAGAAUAAAUGGGAUGCAAUAAAAAAUGACUAUGUGUUUUUCAUGGCGUUGAAAAAUGAAGCAACCGGGCUUGGAUGGGAUGAUGCAAAGAGAACCGUUGUUUGCCCUCAAGAAUGGUGGGUUGAACAUGUUGUGGUAAGUGUAGCAACUUUUUUUAUUUGGCGUGCUUUUCAAUGAUUGCAUUACCUGAUUUCUACUUUCAUUUUCAGAGAUGCCAAGAGAGGACGGGAAAGAAAUGCAAUCAUUUGAAGUUCAAGCGAGAGGGUCCGAAGCACCUUGAAGAUUUACAUGUCAUAUUUCACAAAGUACAUGUCACAGGGGCUAGUGCUUCUUCUGCUGGAGAUAUAUCUUUUGAUGAAUCAAGUGAUGAUAAUGCGGUUCCUUUGAAGAAACCCGAUGGUAGUGAUGAAAUGAAGUUGGCAUCUUUGAAGAAACCAAAAGCAAGCAAGAAGCGCAAGCAACCUUCAAUAAAAAAUGAGGAGAAGGAAGAGAAGAGUCCCUUCUUACGAUUGUACAAGCAGACAUGUGAGAAGAUAGAAAGUGGAGUGAAGAAGAUAACCUCUAGUGUUGAAGCAUCAUCGGCUCCUCCUCCAACCAACCUUGUCCCUACCAUUUCGGAGGUUAUGAAGUUGGUGAAAGAUUGUGGUGUGAAAGAAAAAACUGCUCUCAUGCACACAACCCUCACUCUUAUAGUGAAGCCUGACUUUAGGGAAAUCUUCAGUCUUCUUGAAACAAAAGAAGGGAGGCUUGAUUAUCUGGAGAGGGAGCAUCAGAAGUAGAUGUUGAAGCAUGUGUUGUGAACCAUAUGUACUCGUGUUGUAGAACUACAUUUGCUUUCAGUGUAGAAACUUAUUUUCUUAUGUUGUGAACUGUAUUUGCUUGUGUUGUGAACCUUAUUUGCUUAUACAAUCAUAUUUGCUUGUGUUGUAAGGGGUCCCAAGUUUCUCACCUCGUAUGCAAAAGCAUAUCAUCAUUGCUUGCAUGGCAUUGCACAACUUCAUUCGUGAUAGCAAGUUGAGUGAUAAUUUUUUUGAUAAAUGUGAUGCCGAUGAUGAGUAUGUACCUACAGUGCUACGACGGGAAGUAGCACCAACACAAGCGGAUCCCGUUGAAGAGGAGGAGAACGAAGAUACCAUGGAUACUAUUCGUAGUAGGAUAGCCGAUGGUUGUCUUGCGAUAGCAACAUAGGUUAGCUAUCUUGAUGGAGGUCACAAUCAUGCGAACCAUAUGUAUAUUAUAUGGUGCAUGCCUUUUGUAAUAUAAUUAUGGGGUCAUUAUCUAUUUAUAUAUAAUAUGUAGUAUGCAACUUGGAAGUAUAAUCAUUGAAUUCGUAUGUGUUAGCUGUGAAUCAUUUAAAUUGUCAUAAUUUUUCUUUGCAAAACGGUCGUUCUAUUGCCUACCAAUGUAUAUAUCACUAUUUUACGAUCAAGUUACACAUUAAAAAUAUUGAAUUAUUGUCCAGGGUCAUUACAGACAAUUCACAGUCAAAUCUGCAGUUUCACAGUUGUUUCAGCCAAACGACUUCCAGCUUUUCCACAGCUGGAAGUUCACAGCAUCUUUUUCACAGCUCACAGCUCACAGCAGCUUUUACAGAAUCUACAGCUCAACCAAACACAGCCUUAGGCUGUGUUUGGUUGGACUUCAACUUCCAACUUCUAGGCCCAAAAGCUAUAAUCUGUACCAAAGGGUGUUCCCAUGAAAGCAGAUUCGUAAGAAGUUGCAACUUCUUCUAGUGCAAAUCCCGCAGCCCACAUACCCCAACUUGUCCAGCUUCUCAGCAGACCGUUUUGCUAACUUACCUAAGAGUUGAGGGUUAUUUACCCACCUUUGCCACUCCCUAGUGAAAACAAUUCACUGCCGAAAAGAAAAAUCUCCUCGUACCAUCGACAGCAAAAACUCCUCGAGGGAAAAAUCCCCUCGUCCCGAGCGACGGGCUAGGGUUUCUAGCCGCCGCUGCCAGCGCUACCGGCCCUCCACCGCCGCUGCCAGCGCCGCCUUCAGUGCUGCAGGCUCUCCACCGCCGCCCGAGCUAAGCCCCCUACGUAUCCGUCCGCCCCUGAGCAGUACGCCGCCCGCCCAGUGGCCCUUCCUCGCCGGUCGUCCGGCGCCGUUGACCGGAGCUGCACAGCCCUCCACGGCGAGGUAGCCUCCGUCCUUACUCCCGCCUUCCUCCUCUUCCAUCCCUGAGUACAGAUUGCUUGCUAGUAGGUGGUGUAUUUGGGAUAAAUUGUGUACAUAUUGACUGAUAGUACAGAUUUCUUGCUAGUACAGGUUGCUUGUGCUUCUGUUGUGAAUGGAGCCUAUGUAGUACCUUUCUAACGUGAAUUUAGUUGACAUUGAUUGCUUGCUAUGUUCUGCUAUGGAUAAAUUGGAAGAUGUUUACAUAUUGUACAACUAUUAUACAUGUGGCAGGGUAUUAAAAUUAUUUUGCUUGAUUGAAGAAUGACUGAAAAAGCGGUGUGGGAUGAUGCAUGUCUGAAGAAAGUCAUAGAAAUAUUCAGAGAAGAGGUUGAAAUGGGAAUAGGCCCUUAGGUUAUUUUACUAAGAAGGGCUGGGACAAUGUUAUCAAGAAAUGGGAAGCAAGAAUGGGAAAGAAGUAUCCCAAGGAUAAUUUCAAGAAUAAAUGGGAUGCAAUAAAAAAUACUAUGUGUUUUUCAUGGAGUUGAAAAAUGAAGCAACCGGGCUUGGAUGGGAUGAUGCAAAGAGAAUCGUUGUUUGCCCUCAAGAAUGGUGGGAUGAACAUGUUGUGGUAAGUGUAGCAACUUUUUUUAUUUGGCAUGCUUUUCAAUGAUUGCAUUACCUGAUUUCUACUUUCAUUUUCAGAGAUGCCAAGAGAGGGCGGGAAAGAAAUGCAAUCAUUUGAAGUUCAAACGAGAGGGUCCGAAGCACCUUGAAGAUUUACAUGUCAUAUUUCACAAAGUACAUGUCACAGGGGCUAGUGCUUCUUCUGCUGGAGAUAUAUCUUUUGAUGAAUCAAGUGAUGAUAAUGCGGUUCCUUUGAAGAAACCCGAUGAUAGUGAUGAAAUGAAGUUGGCAUCUCUGAAGAAACCAAAAGCAAGCAAGAAGCGCAAGCAACAUUUAAUAAAAAAUGAGGAGAAGGAAGAGAAGAGUCCCUUCUUACGAUUGUAUAAGUAGACAUGUGAGAAGAUAGAAAGUGGAGUGGAGAAGAUAACCUCUAGUGUUGAGGCAUCAUCGGCUCCUCCUCCAACCAACCUUGUCCCUACCAUUUCAGAGGUUAUGAAGUUGGUGAAAGAUUGUGGUGUGAAAGAAAAAACUGCUCUCAUGCACACAACCCUCACUCUUAUAGUGAAGCCUGACUUUAGGGAAAUCUUCAGUCUUCUUGAAACAAAAGAAGGGAGGCUUGAUUAUCUGGAGAGGGAGCAUCAGAAGUAGAUGUUGAAGCACGUGUUGUGAAC